CUUAGUAUUUUUCAGACAAAAAACUCUCGAACCCUAGCUAAUAACGACUCCCACUUUGACUUCGCAGCUCCUUCACCUUGGUCGACCUCAUUCUCCCUGACCUCGUUCUCCGCGACCUCGUUCUACAACCUGAGCUCGUUCUCCGACCCGACCUCGUCCUUCAACGACCCGAGCCACCUUGAGCUCCUUCACUGACCCAGAACCGCCUCGAGCUCCUUCAAUGACCUGACCACGAACUCAUUCUCCCACCUGAGCUCGUCAUUGUCCUACCUGAGCCGACUCGAGGUAGUUCUCCGACCGCCACCAGCGUAGUGGGGAGUUUGAAGGCUAGGAUCUAUUAAUUUGGAAUCAAAGAAGUAAAAUCAAAAUGCCGUGAAACAGGAACUGUGUUGUUUGGUGGUGUUGCUCCGCGCCAUACCGUAAUUGUAUUCACUCGGAGAAACUGUUUGGUUGUUGAAGCAAUCUUUUAUUUGGUGAUUUUAUAGUAGGUAGAGUUGUGAGAAUGUAUGUUGCUCCACCGUAUUUUGAGACUGCUGCUGCUUCCUUCUAUAUUUAAUAUGACAUGAUGGGCCAGUGCUAUCUGAGUGAGAUUUAAGUACUACAUGAUUUUGUGGUUUUACAAUUGCCAAGAAACAUGGUCUUUUCUUGGGGAAGCAAACUUUCUCCUUUUUAUCAACCAAAUGGAGGAUCAUGUAAUCAUUUGCAUGAUAACUUUGUUUUGACUCAAAUUGCCACUCGUCUAAGGUGUAAAAUGACGAACGAGUGUUGAAGAAACUGACUGCAACUGAUUGAGUAAGACUUAACAUUCUCAAGUAUUCAUCAAGAUGUCAUUAUUUUAUCUGCAGGAAUCUCCCCAAGCUGCUAGAGUUAAAGUAUUGGCAAGUGGAAAUGCAAUAGAAAGGCGAUUCAGUGUUUGGAUAGGUGGCAGUAUAUUGGCUUCUCUUGGUUCAUUCCAGCAAAUGUGGUUCUCCAAGGCUGAGUACGAGGAGCAUGGGGCUUCUUAUGUACAAAGAAAAUGCCCUUGAUUUGUUGUCUUGGUAACAACUGCAAAUAGAAAAGGUCUCGAUUGUGCUCCAUCAAAUGGACAUUUUCCAAAAUUGUCAAAGCUUUGAGCCUGUAUCCAGUUAAAGACGGAUAGUGCUUUGAUUUUUAUUAACCGACUCUGAUAUACCGUAGCAUAUAUUAGCUUAUUGAUUAGGGAUUAAAGAGAUACAGAGCUGAGCUAAAUACUUUGGAGAGCUGAGAAUUGAUUAGGUAAAGUUGUGAGAAUGGAUGUUGGGGUAACCUGGCCUUAAAGAGAUACAGAGCUGAGCUAAAUACUUUGGGAAAGGCAGAAGAUACCACUGAUCAUUGCCUUCUGCCAACUGUACUAAGUUUGCCAGGCAUAUGAUAAAAGGGAAAAGUAAAGAAGCUUUCGUUGCAUAGAUAUCAAGUACGUAAACAAGGUCAUAUAAAUAGCAAGGAGAGGUAAUUGCAACAGCAGUAGAACAAGUUCACCUCUUCCUCCUCGGAAACCAUAGGUAAUACUAGCAUCUCUAUAAGAAGGCAAAGUUAAAUUAAGACUACUUCCGGGCGUACUUAAACAACCGGGCGGAAUUGAGUGUGGCUAUUAUGUUAUGCAGUACAUGAAGGAUAUUAUUAAUGAUGACACACUUUCCUUUUCAACCAAGUGGCCGGUAAAGACUCGGAAAUGAUAUACCCAACAACAACUUGACGAGGUGCGCAUUGAGGUGGCCGACUACUUACAGACCUUGUUGUAGAUUCUGACUAGCACGAGGAUUUUGAGAAAGGCUAGCUAGCUUUUGGUUCACUUUUUUUGUAGUAGAUGAAGUGAAUGCAGCAAUUAUGAACAAAAAUGCAAUAUAUAGUAAUUGUUAGGCUA